UCUUCAACCUCCUGCCUGAGUUGGACACGAACACGAGACUGCUUACCGACUUGAAAAUCUCCAGAAAAUCGCAACGAUUCCGUUCAAAUUCGUGACCCCUACUCCACGAAAUCCCCUCUAUAUAAUUCCCCCCAUCAGCCCCACUCCGUUUUUCCAAAAAUCGCAAACCGUAGACCACCUGAGAGUUCUUUCCGAUCUCGCCGCAGUUCGUCGCUGCGAAUUUGAAGUCGAGGACCACAGGGACGAGCAAACGAGGACGCUGGAGUUUUGCCGGAGUUCGUCGCUUCCAGCCGGAGCUAGGCAUCGUUCGGGACUAGAAGAACUGCUGACGAAGACAGGAACGAGAUCUUCUGGUGGAGCCGCACCUCGUCGUCACCUUCAGAGUCGGAGGCCACCACACCGACGUCGCCAACCACGUCCAGCCGCCGCGUCCGUCGUUGUCCACCACCGAUUUAUUCGGAGUGCGCGAGAAAUUCACAAGGAAGAAAUCAUCAUCAAAUUAUACUAAGGCAAGUUACACCUUUGUUCAAAUUUUUGUCCCAAGUUUUCUAUGCAUGUCUUUUUCCUUCAAAUGAUUAGUAUGCAUGUGUAGGAUGUUUUGGUAGAUUUUACUUAAAUGUUUUACAAGUUCGCGUGCUAUUUUGUAGAUUGCCAUGAGUAGAAAUAUUUCCAUUUGAUAUCAUGGUCAUAGGAAUCCCUAAAUUUUUCAAAGUGCUAUGCUUAUGCUACAUAAAUAUUAAAAGGGGUUCGAAACAAGAAAAUUUUCUAAGUACUUGAGCUCUGUUUAUGAGCACUUUUCUCCCGAAAUCCUCCUUCAAAAUAAAACUAAGUUUUCUUCUGGGCGGAAUGGUUUUGACGGGACAACGAGUGUGGAGAUUGGUGGAGGACUGCCGCCCAGGAUCAAAGAAGUCUGCCACGUUCCAGAUGUCAGAAGCUUCCAGUGCAACCACAAUACAAUAUGGGCUCUGUCUUGGCUAAGUACUUAGUGGGAAACCUCACCUGGGUACCGCCAUUGGGAGGUAUUUUGGGCACGGGCGGAUCCGGAAGGUGGAGGGGCUACUAAGGAAAAGCUUCGCCGUGACCUCGUCCAGGCCUUAAUGAGGAUGAAGAAUUUUGGCGAAAAGGCUUGGUUGUGAAUUGUGGGUAAAGAGCGCAACCUCUCGAGAGUGUUAACCUGAUCGAUCAGCCGUGUCCACGGUAAAAGGACAAUUUGAGCAUCUGAAGUAUGGAGCCUCUGAAGGAUUUCCUCUCUCUUUUCAAAGGAGUUUUCAAAAUCCUAUGGCGUGUGUAAUAUCGUUCAUAGGUGGGUUUUUGGGGCCUUGGUGUGUAAUAUCCAAGUGCUCGGGACUUGGUGUGUAAUAUCCAAGUGUGGGACUUGGUGCGUCAUAUCCAAGUGUUAGGUUGAUUUGGACACUUGGUGUGUAAUAUCCAUGUGUUCCACUCGGCCAAUUUUAUUUAUCAAAAUUUUGCAAAGUAGGGUAAAAGAUUUUCUCUCUUUACUAAGUAAAAAUUGGCUUUACGCAAAUAAAAUCUCAAGCCUCCUCUUGUCUGCCUUGCAUGUAGAUAUAGGCCUUUUCCUCUUCUUGGUGUAAUUUGCCAUACAUUCAAAGUAUUGACCACUCUCGUGGCUGCAACCUUUUAUGUUGCAGGUUAUUCGACGACUUGUGAAAAUGCGUAGGUCGCGAGUCUACACUCAACGAGCCUGUGGCAUUGAUGGGACUCCAAUAUGUUAUUUUGUUUUCCGUUGUAUUGAGCUAGCCUUUGGCUAUGCAAGUUGUAAUUAUUUGUACUCUGGAUUAUUCGAAUCGUGUAAUAAAGACUUGUGUUUUACAUGAUUA